rnacentral:misc_RNA from 1 species
CUGCACAAAAGCUCCUUUUGUAUCUGCAAUGCACCGGUAGAGCUCUCCAUUGCGAUAUCUAUCAGUUUGAGCUGCUAUCCAUCUGAUCUGACCCUUAAGUUGGUAUUUCGCUAUCAAAGCAUGCAUCUUGUUUAUCUCUGCGAUUUCUUCUCUAUCUUUUGAUUUAGAUGGAUCAAAGAAUCCAGCUACAACGACAAGAUUUACCAAGUUUCUAAGCCUUUUAUUCUGUCCAUACCACUCAGUUAAUCCUGUAAUGUUUUUCACUGUAUCAAGUCUUGCCAUGGAGAAGAUAAUUGGUUUCUUCCUGUCUGCAAGAUAUCCAAUGUGUUCAUUAUUGUCCUCCUUGUUGUAGAGUAGUUCUUCAAUGGCAGGAUAAAAAGAAGUUAACCGCCUUCGUUUCUCUGUAUAGGGAAAGUAGACCGAUUGGUCAGCCCCAGGGGCAGCAAUGUUGAACUUUGGAUCAAAGACAUUGAUGCCUGAGACAACCCGGCAAAGUCCUGGCAUAGUAAAUGUCUCAUGGCUUUCAUACUGUCCAGGCCUAUCCUUGCUUCCUGCAAUUUCUUGGUAUGUGCUGGUUAUGAUAAAAUCAGCUGUGUUCAUUGCAAUCAUGUCAGCUGUGAAUUGACAGGAGAAGUGGUACUUGGGAUCUAAUUGUUUCCAUUUGGCAUCUGAAUCUUCAUACUUGGUUUUCUCUAAAGCAUGAGCUAUAGUUCCCAGAGUUAUGCCAAGUCUGUUUGCCAUCAGAGAUGCCACCAAGUUUCCAUCACUGUAAUUCCCAAUAAUGAGAUCUGGUUUACAUUCCAUGUGUUCAAGAACCUUAUCAGCAGCAUCCUGGGCAAAUUUUUCAAGAUAAGGAUAGACAUCGAAACGGGAGACCCAUUGGGGAAGAACCCCUUUCUCUGUCAUGAAUGGGACUCUAAGAAUGUUAGAGUGCUUUGUGUCAAUGAUAGGUUCCAUCUCCUGGUUGCACUUGGUUCCUCGAGCAUCUGGUAUAAGUCGCGUUAUCACAAGAAUCUGAGGCUUCAUAUUAAGGCCUUGCUGCUUGAUUCUGAGCAGCAGCUCUUCUUCUAAUGCUCUUACUUGAUCAAGAAUGUAAACCACCUGGCCACCAGUGUCUGGCAAUCCAAGGACAUCUGCCUGGCCAAAAUAGCCAUGUGGAGAGAAAAUUACAAUGUUGAACAUGUUAGGAAGCCUGCCAAAGAACAAUUCUAGUUUUGCUGGUUCUUGUGCUUGAAGUGAUUCAGAAAGCAUUCUCAUGGUCUCUUUAACUCUUUCUGCAGUAUUCCCCCAUCCCUUCUCAAAUCCUAACUCUUUCAGGCUAUGUUGAAAAUCCUGAUACGGUGUGUGUUUUGGAAAUGCAGAGAGAACAUCUUCAGCUCCAAGGAGUGCCACCUGAAGCUUGGCAACUGUAUCCAGCUUUUCAUUGAUCAUAAGAUUCUCUCCCUGAUAGUCAAGGGCUAGUAAAUAGUCAAGCAGAGGCUUUGCACUACCAGAGCUCCCAUUAAGCUUUGAGGACAUGAAUUUUGAGAUGUAUUUCAUCCCAUUCCCAAUAGAAGAAGAAAGGGUCAAGCGAGGAGUUGAGAAAUCUAUGGCUCCAAAAUCUAUUUCCAGAGCAUUUUCAUCGCUGGCCCAGUUUUCGUCAAAGAUCAUUUCUUUGAACUGCAAGUAUUCUGAUGCAGAGAUGCCAUCAACACUCAGAUCUUCAGCAUUCACUUUAACGUAUUCCCAGAAUCCAGGAUUUGGCCUUACAGCAAAAGCAACAUAAGGUGGAAUAACAGCUGCCUCCUGAGUGGCACUCAUGAUGUAACCAAGUAAGCCUUCCAAGACCCUUUUCCUUUCAACCUUGUCUUGUAUCGAUUUCUCCAUUUCAUCCAUUAUAUGUUGGCGUUUCAAAAGUUUUUUCCCAGUUGCAACAAAGCUGGAAAAGCAUAUCUUCAUGUGAUAGCGGCUCUGCCUCAACGCAUCGGGCAUACUUUCUGCAAUCGUUUCAGAACGCUUGAGAACUGGUCCGGAAGCCAUUUCAACCAAAUAUAACACAAGAUGCUUUAAGAAACAGAAAGAUUUUGGAUUCACAAUGUAGUUUUGU